GCGGGUAUAGUACAAUGGUAGUACGUCAGCUUGCCAAGUUGAGGAUACGGGUUCGAUCCCCGUUACCCGCU
rnacentral:tRNA from 1 species